UGGCUCAGGAUGAACGCUAGCUACAGGCUUAACACAUGCAAGUCGAGGGGCAGCAUGGUCUUAGCUUGCUAAGGCCGAUGGCGACCGGCGCACGGGUGAGUAACACGUAUCCAACCUGCCGUCUACUCUUGGACAGCCUUCUGAAAGGAAGAUUAAUACAAGAUGGCAUCAUGAGUCCGCAUGUUCACAUGAUUAAAGGUAUUCCGGUAGACGAUGGGGAUGCGUUCCAUUAGAUAGUAGGCGGGGUAACGGCCCACCUAGUCUUCGAUGGAUAGGGGUUCUGAGAGGAAGGUCCCCCACAUUGGAACUGAGACACGGUCCAAACUCCUACGGGAGGCAGCAGUGAGGAAUAUUGGUCAAUGGGCGAGAGCCUGAACCAGCCAAGUAGCGUGAAGGAUGACUGCCCUAUGGGUUGUAAACUUCUUUUAUAAAGGAAUAAAGUCGGGUAUGGAUACCCGUUUGCAUGUACUUUAUGAAUAAGGAUCGGCUAACUCCGUGCCAGCAGCCGCGGUAAUACGGAGGAUCCGAGCGUUAUCCGGAUUUAUUGGGUUUAAAGGGAGCGUAGAUGGAUGUUUAAGUCAGUUGUGAAAGUUUGCGGCUCAACCGUAAAAUUGCAGUUGAUACUGGAUAUCUUGAGUGCAGUUGAGGCAGGCGGAAUUCGUGGUGUAGCGGUGAAAUGCUUAGAUAUCACGAAGAACUCCGAUUGCGAAGGCAGCCUGCUAAGCUGCAACUGACAUUGAGGCUCGAAAGUGUGGGUAUCAAACAGGAUUAGAUACCCUGGUAGUCCACACGGUAAACGAUGAAUACUCGCUGUUUGCGAUAUACUGCAAGCGGCCAAGCGAAAGCGUUAAGUAUUCCACCUGGGGAGUACGCCGGCAACGGUGAAACUCAAAGGAAUUGACGGGGGCCCGCACAAGCGGAGGAACAUGUGGUUUAAUUCGAUGAUACGCGAGGAACCUUACCCGGGCUUAAAUUGCAGAUGAAUUACGGUGAAAGCCGUAAGCCGCAAGGCAUCUGUGAAGGUGCUGCAUGGUUGUCGUCAGCUCGUGCCGUGAGGUGUCGGCUUAAGUGCCAUAACGAGCGCAACCCUUGUUGUCAGUUACUAACAGGUUCCGCUGAGGACUCUGACAAGACUGCCAUCGUAAGAUGUGAGGAAGGUGGGGAUGACGUCAAAUCAGCACGGCCCUUACGUCCGGGGCUACACACGUGUUACAAUGGGGGGUACAGAGGGCCGCUACCACGCGAGUGGAUGCCAAUCCCCAAAACCUCUCUCAGUUCGGACUGGAGUCUGCAACCCGACUCCACGAAGCUGGAUUCGCUAGUAAUCGCGCAUCAGCCACGGCGCGGUGAAUACGUUCCCGGGCCUUGUACACACCGCCCGUCAAGCCAUGGGAGCCGGGGGUACCUGAAGUGCGUAACCGCGAGGAGCGCCCUAGGGUAA
rnacentral:rRNA from 1 species